rnacentral:snoRNA from 1 species
GAGCAUCCUCUGAUGUACCUGUUGUUCUUCUGAUUUGCACUAGGAUACGAAAGAAUAAAAAGUCCCUGCGCGUUCUGUCUUUGUGGUGGGUCCAGAUUGAAUGAGGGAUUACAAAG